rnacentral:rRNA from 1 species
CAGCCGCCGCGGUAAUACGUAGGUGGCAAGCGUUGUCCGGAAUUAUUGGGCGUAAAGGGCUCGCAGGCGGUUUCUUAAGUCUGAUGUGAAAGCCCCCGGCUCAACCGGGGAGGGUCAUUGGAAACUGGGAAACUUGAGUGCAGAAGAGGAGAGUGGAAUUCCACGUGUAGCGGUGAAAUGCGUAGAGAUGUGGAGGAACACCAGUGGCGAAGGCGACUCUCUGGUCUGUAACUGACGCUGAGGAGCGAAAGCGUGGGGAGCGAACAGGAUUAGAUACCCCGUAGUCCCUGUCUCUUAUACA